rnacentral:rRNA from 1 species
GACGAACGCUGGCGGCGUGCUUAACACAUGCAAGUCGAACGAUAAGGCCCUUCGGGGUACACGAGUGGCGAACGGGUGAGUAACACGUGGGUGAUCUGCCCUGCACUUCGGGAUAAGCCUGGGAAACUGGGUCUAAUACCGGAUAGGACUCCGGACUGCAUGGUCUGGGGUGGAAAGCUUUUGCGGUGUGGGAUGGGCCCGCGGCCUAUCAGCUUGUUGGUGGGGUGAUGGCCUACCAAGGCGACGACGGGUAGCCGGCCUGGGAGGGUGACCGACCACACUGGGACUGAGAUACUGCCCAGACUCCUACGGGAGGCAGCAGUGGGGAAUAUUGCACAAUGGGCGCAAGCCUGAUGCAGCGACGCCGCGUGAGGGAUGACGGCCUUCGGGUUGUAAACCUCUUUCAGCAUCGACGAAGCGAAAGUGACGGUAGGUGCAGAAGAAGGACCGGCCAACUACGUGCCAGCCGCCGCCGUAA